CCUACGGGAGGCAGCAGUGAGGAAUAUUGGUCAAUGGCCGAAAGUCUGAACCAGCCAAGCAGCGUGAAGGACGAAUGUCCUAUGCGUUGUAAACUUCUUUUAUAAAGGAAUAAAACCAGGCUCGUGUGCCUUUUCGCGUGUACUUUAUGAAAAAGGAUCGGCUAACUCCGUGCCAGCAGCAGCGGUAAUACGGAGGAUCCGAGCGUUAUCCGGAUUUAUUGGGUUUAAAGGGAGCGUAGGUGGGUUGUUAAUUCAGUUGUGAAAGGAUGCGGCUCAACCGGAGCAGUGCAAUUGAUACUGGCAGUCUUGAGUGCAGGUGAGGUAAGCGGAAUUCGUGGUGUAGCGGUGAAAUGCUUAGAUAUCGCGAAGAACCCCGAUUGCGAAGGCAGCUUACUAGACUGUAACUGACACUGAGGCUCGAAAGUGUGGGUAUCAAACAGGAUUAGAUACCCCUGUAGUC
rnacentral:rRNA from 1 species